rnacentral:tRNA from 1 species
CAAAGAAUAGUUAAAUUUAGGAUGCUAGCUUUGGGAGCUAGGGGUGGGAGUUAGAAUCUCCCUUCUUUGA